UACGUAGGGUGCAAGCGUCGUCCGGAAUUAUUGGGCGUAAAGAGCUCGUAGGCGGUUUGUCGCGUCUGCUGUGAAAAACCCGAGGCUCAACCUCGGGCCUGCAGUGGGUACGGGCAGACUAGAGUGCGGUAGGGGGAGAUUGGAAUUCCUGGUGUAGCGGUGGAAUGCGCAGAUACCAGGAGGAACACCAAUGGCGAAGGCAGAUCUCUGGGCCGUAACUGACGCUGAGGAGCGAAAGCAUGGGGAGCGAACAGG
rnacentral:rRNA from 1 species